GCACCGAUUGUCUAGAAUAACUUAGUUCACGCCGUCUCUAUGAAUUCCUCCAGCAGCUUCUCACAGGAUGGAAAUAUGGAGCAGCGGUCACCUGUUGCUGUUGCUUGCGUGUCUAAUGUAUGCUUGCUGGUGGUAGAACUCAGAGGCUGCACGGAUAAGGUCCACUUUCUGCCAUCAGCUACAGUGCCAGCUCAGCUUGGCUAAUACGGAAUUCAGUUUAAGGAUCUUUUAAAAAGACUUUUGUGGUUUUUACCUCCAUAAAGAAUUUUGUUGUUGUUGUUU